CCCAUACGCUGUAUGUUCCAGUAUCCGCUGUUAGCUGUGACUCACUAGUUCAUUCUGACCGAAUGGUUAAAAUGUUGUUAUGAUAGGCACACAUAGGAGGAGCAUAGCCUAUAUUAUACAAAAACAUUGAGAACAUCUGCUCUUCCCAUGACAGACUGACCAGGUGAAUCCAGGUGAAAGCUACGAUCCCUUAUUGAGGUCACUCGUUAAAUCCACCAAUGAAUGUAGAUGAAGGUGAAGAAGGAUUUUUAAGCCUUGAGACAAUUGAGACUUGGAUUGUGUAUGUGUACCAUUCAGAGGGUGAAUGUGCAAGACCAAUCAUUUCAAAGGAUUUAAUCCUGGAGGAAUCUGGGCUUGUUUUGUCAUUUCUAGGACAGUGAGAUGUGUUUCACAUAUAUUUGACUAGUAGGAAGGCAGGUCAUGGCUUCAUGGGCUGAAUGAUACACCCUAUGACGGCUUCCCAUGUAUUGGGAGGGGGGUCUAAAAAUACAUGUAGUCCUGCUUUGUGGCGUUUCACAAAGUCUCUAUGUUAUUCAGAUCGCGCUAUGCGUUUUUGUGUGUAGAGAUAUGGUUGUUCUUCUUUCAUACAUCCAUUGGACGUCUUUCAGCGAUGUUCCUAUCAGCUGAUUAAUUGAAAAGUAUACAAGCAGACGCAUUUUUCCAGUCUCUGAAAGACUACAUCUUGGGUUGGGCGAUGCUUUGUGCUCUGGCCCCCAAGGCAGGUUUUUUUUUUAAAGGAGGCGAAUGGACUGACCAUGCGUAAUGGCUUCAAGUAAUUCCUCCCAUCAAUACAAAUUUGACGAUGGAGCAUUUGUUAGCUACAUAGUGACAUUCAACCAUCUAUGUUUCAACUGGAAUAUAGCAAAGAGAAUUUGAAAGAAAUAGUUGGAUUUAGUGAACGUUAGAAGCUCAGCUACAGCCAAUGCCAGCACCAAGACAGCUAUGCACCAUAUUUGUCAUCUGCCAAUCGUAGAUAUGGCUAGCUACUAAACAGCCAUCAACAACAUUACAACCAGCCACCUAAAGCUAAGUUUACCACCAAACAAGAAUGUAUCUUCAGGAUUGCUCUUGUCUUUGGCCAGCUUCUCCAUGAACUCCUGGCAAGGGAGGUUGAAGUUUGUCUUCACAAUAAGCAUGGCCUUGAUGGUAGGUACAGUGAACCUAUUUCUUGCUGCUCUCCAUAGAUCAUUCGUUUGGGAGAAAACUCUCUCGACUGGUGCAUUACUUCCAGAAUUUCAGCGGACUCCACAGCACAGUGGUCCUGGCCUUCAAGCAUCUUGAUCGUGUCACUGAAUACAGUCAAGUUUCCAUGGACAAAGUCCAGCCAACGUUCAGUCAGUGGAUCUUCAAACAUUGUUCGCAGGACAACAGGGCAUUUGUCUUCAGAAAUAAAAAAGGAUUUCAAUGGCACAUACAUUUUCAGCACUCUUUCUAGAGCAGGGAGCAUGGACAGCCAGCGAACAUAGCUGUGUCCUAAAAUGUUAUGCUACUCCUGGCCAACAAAAUCACCAAAGCUCUUCAGUCUUUCUACUCUGACGGUGAAAAUAUCCAAAUAUCUUUGUGAGCAGGUACUCAACAUCAAGGGGAAUCAUAUCCAAAGCUGUUCUGGCCGUGUUAUGAAUUAUGUGUGCAGGACAACCUAAGCCAAUCACCUCCCGCUGCAGAGCAUUUUUAACUUUGGUAUGGACAUCGCCUUGACCUGAGCGUAUAAAUGGAAAUUCUCUCAUCAUGUUGUCAUUAAAAUGGCAUUUCCGUUUCUUGGAAAGAGCCAUUGUACCUCCUCUGUCUGCUCUUCUUCACUCUCCUUGUGUCACUCUUCUUACUCUCAAUUAUUUUUCUUCUCCUCCAAUCUUUCUCCACUCGUCUUCCUGCUCUUUCUUCCUUUCCUUCUCUUUACCUUUCCACCUCUCUUCCACACUCUCCUCGCUUCACUCUUUUUACUCCCUUCAUUUUUCCUUCUCCUUCCUCUCCAAUCUUUAAUAAUAAAUAGUACACUAUUAGAUAAAAUACUUUGGUUAACAGAUUCCCAUUGCUUGCCUCAUUUUUGUAUUUUAUCUCAAAAACAUUGUUUGGAAUAACAAAUUGACAGACUCUGCAAUCAUAUCUUUACCUUUCCUCCUCUCUCUUUCACUCUCCUUCCUAUCCAGUCUUCCUCCUCCCCAUUAACAUAAAACAUUAUGCUAAUGUUAUCCAUGAAAAUGUCUAAAUAUAUUUUCACACUACUUAAAAUGCCAAACCAUUAAAAUUGUAAUCUACAAAUAUAUAUUCUCAGAAUUAUGCAUUACUUUAAUAUAAUCAUAUUUUCUAAAUAGCCCGUCCACUGCAUGUUUACAAGUGAACGUUUUUUAACCUAGCUACCGUGUAAGUAGCUAGUUAACCUCGCUAGCUAACGCUAGUCGACAUAGCUAGUCGACACAGGCCACCAAAAACGGUGACGUCUGGUCACCCUACUUUAGGUAGAUACUGUCUUUCUACCUACCUAGGCUCAUUUGUACGGUCUGGUCACUGUGCAAAGGUUGAGAGUUAUACCAUAUUGUUGUAAAUGUAAUCUCUGUGCCUGUGCACAUGUACUGUCGGUUCUUGUUGGACUCUGAACCAUGAGGAAACAUUAUGCUGAAGUACUGAAAUUCCCACAAAAGAACGUGGAUUCUUAAAAGUUCUCUGAACAAUUUGAGAACAUUAUAUUAAAUAGAACCAUGCAGUAACCUGUGGGAAACAUUAUGCUGCACUACUGAAAUAUCUACAAUCCAUGCUUCAUCUAGAUAUGUUAGUGCCACUGAAUGAAUUUAAAAUAUUGAUGUGACUAUUACAGAGGAGUUUAAAUUAUUUUUUUUAGGCUGGAUCAUGUUGUAUUGUUGUAUGUUUUAAUUCUGUAAUGUAUUGAUUGUUGCUGCCUUCUUGGCCAGGUCUCCCUUGAAGAAGAGACUGGGUCUCAAUGGGCUUUUCCUCGUUAAAUAAAUCAAAUUUAAAAAAUAAA